rnacentral:lncRNA from 1 species
GUAUGCAAAGGAAAGUAACGAGAGAGAGAGGCAGAGGUUAACCGAAAAAAGACUAAGUACUCCACUACUUAGAAAAAGAGGAUUACAGCAUAUAUACACACUCUCUCUUGUGUGUCUUCGCCUUAGCCAAACCCCACUAUUUGUAGGCCUAUGGAUACAAUGAACCUAACCACACAACUCACCGACUAGCCUACUUAUAAUGAGCCAUCAUAAUAGCCAAAAGCCCAAGAGUCACACCAUAACUCCUAAUAGUUUUGCAACCUUUGAGUUUCCCACAGCGGGUCAGAUUCAGGCCGCGUUCUUGACAACCCGGUUCAACUCGUUUUUACUAGCAGAGUUGGGCCAGGGACCGGGCUGCGCAGAAUUUUUCUAAAUCCUUGACACCACGCUAACAUGGCGCCUCCGUUGCACUGAUAUGACGCCUCCGUAGCGCUGACAUGGUGAUUCCAUUAAUUUUAACACUUUUUUAACGGCUGAGACUUAAUUGUAAUGAAAUCAAGAGAUCAGGAAUUUGAUUGCCAAAAAAAAAGAUUGGGGACCAAAUUGAAAAACUGUGCAAAGGUUGGGACCAAUAUGUAAUUAACCCAUGCAACACCUUUAUCUUUUCUCUUUUUAAUCCUUUUAGCUACUUUUUAAAUAAAAGGGCAAUUACUUAUAGAUAUUUCUGAAAAGUUUUCGACUUUCUUUUUAUUCCUCUUAAUAGGUUAAUAAGAUUUUUUUUUUUUUUACAUUUCAAGUUAUUUCAAAUAUACUCGUAGAAUUAAAUUCUGUUAGUGAACUGCUAGCAAUAACUAUUAUUUUUGUAGAAUUAUAAUUUUGCCCUUUUAAAUAUAUUCUUCUACCAUUAUCAACUUUUCAUAUUUGCCUUUAAGUUAGGGGUAAAAGAAUUAUUUUGAUUUUUGAUCUUUUCAAAUAUAUAUCACUUUACCAUGAGCAACUUUUCUUAUUUACUUUUAAAUUAAGGGCAAAAUAGGUACUUUGAUUUUUUUUUUAACUCUCAUAGACAUUUAUUUCGCGUUUAACCUGAGAUAAUUUAACGAAUGAUAAAUGUGAUGGUGUUUUUGAAUAACAGAAAAAUAUAUAAGGGAUAUAUUGAAAAUAAAAAAAAUAAAGAUAAAUUAGAUAUUUUUUGAAGUUUUAAGAGGUAUAUAGAUAAUUAUUUCUUAAAUAAAAUAGAAUAAAAUCUAAAAGUAUAAGAU